rnacentral:tRNA from 1 species
UAAAUUUAGUUUAAUGAAAAAAUUUAUUAUUUACAAUAAUAAGAUUAUAAAAUUUAAAUUUAUAAAUUUAA